rnacentral:rRNA from 1 species
UACGUAGGGUCCAAGCGUUAUCCGGAAUCACUGGGCGUAAAGCGUGCGUAGGCGGCGUGUUAAGUGAGAUGUUAAAUCGUGUGGCUCAACCAUAUCGAUGCAUCUCAUACUGGCAUGCUAGAGGAAGGCAGAGGCAAGUGGAAUUGGUAGUGUAGCAGUGAAAUGCGUAGAUAUCUGGAAGAACACCAAGGCGAAGGCAAUGUUCUGGCUCGUUUCUGACGCUCAGGUGCGAAAGCCAGGGGAGCGAACGGG